rnacentral:rRNA from 1 species
UUGAACGCUGGCGGCAUGCUUUACACAUGCAAGUCGAACGCGAAAGGGGGCAACCCUGAGUAGAGUGGCGCACGGGUGAGUAAUACAUCGGAACGUGUCCUGUAAUGGGGGAUAACGCAGCGAAAGCUGUGCUAAUACCGCAUACGUCCUACGGGAGAAAGCGGGGGAUCGCAAGACCUCGCGUUAUAGGAGCGGCCGAUGCCGGAUUAGCUAGUUGGUGGGGUAAAGGCCUACCAAGGCAACGAUCCGUAGCUGGUCUGAGAGGAUGAUCAGCCACACUGGGACUGAGACACGGCCCAGACUCCUACGGGAGGCAGCAGUGGGGAAUUUUGGACAAUGGGGGCAACCCUGAUCCAGCCAUGCCGCGUGAGUGAAGAAGGCCUUCGGGUUGUAAAGCUCUUUCGUCCGGGACGAAAUCGCACAGGCGAAUACCUUGUGCGGAUGACGGUACCGGAAUAAGAAGCACCGGCUAACUACGU